UAAAUGUGACCACAUAACUAUAUUCAGCUCAAGCAGUUUGACAGAGAUACCCCUUUAUUACAGGUGUCCAAGAGAAGGAAGAGGAUGGAAAAGGAUGGAAGAGUGGAGAGGGCCCCAUAACUUUCUUUUAUUCCUCAGCUUUGAUCAUUCCGGUUAUGCUAUCUUUGCUUUGUGAGUUUGACCUUCCUCUAGGACAGGACCCAUUUCGGCAUGUCCUUUAUUUCCCACACAGGGCUUGCCACUGUCUCUACAAAUAAGGUCAUGCUCCAUAAAUACUUCUGGAGAAGAGACGGAUAGAUGUACACAUGCAUGCAUGGAUAUGGAAGGCAUAAGGGAGAUGUUUGGAUAAAGAUAUGAGAAGGGAUUGAAAGAAUAUUCAAUAAUAACAACAAUGAUAAAGCACCCACCAGGAAAAGUGAGACAUCCUGACAGCUUUGACCGAAGAGAGCCGCCAUCACGUUCCUAGUGGCAAAUGGUAUGGAGCCCGGGUGCAGUGACCGGCUCACAUCACGUUUGCUGUGUUCGAGGCACAUCAGGCCACACAGCCUGGCCAACCGAGGAGGAACAAUUUAUAAGGAAAUGUGUUUCACAUGGUUCUGGGGCUAGGAUCAACAGGACAGAAUCUCCUGUGUCCCUCUCUGACAUCAAGGUGCUGUGGCCUCCAUCCCCCUGGGACAGAAGCUGGGGACGAUCAAUCACAAACAUGCCUGCAACUCCUCACCUUGUCUGGGGCCAAGUUCUCUCCAUGUCUCUUUGCAGCUCUGACCCUAAACACGGUGGAUACCA
rnacentral:lncRNA from 1 species